GGUUGAUCCCUGCCGGACCUGACUGCUAUCGGAUUGAUACUAAGCCAUGCGAGUCUUUGCAGUAAUGCAAGGCAUACGGCUCAGUAACACGUAGUCAACUUACCCUAUGGACGAGGAUAAUCUCGGGAAACUGAGCAUAAUACUCGAUAGAUCAUAAUGCCUGGAAUGGUUUAUGGUUAAAAUGAUUCGUCGCCAUAGGAUGGGACUGCGGCCUAUCAGCUUGUUGGUGAGGUAAUGGCCCACCAAGGCGAUUACAGGUACGGGCUCUGAGAGGAGAAGCCCGGAGAUGGGUACUGAGACAAGGACCCAGGCCCUAUGGGGCGCAGCAGGCGAGAAAACUUUGCAAUGUGCGAAAGCACGACAAGGUUAAUCCGAGUGAUUUCUGCUAAAGAAAUCUUUUGCAAGUCAUAAAACCACUAGUGAAUAAGGGGUGGGCAAGUUCUGGUGUCAGCCGCCGCGGUAAAACCAGCACCUCAAGUGGUCAGGAGGAUUAUUGGGCCUAAAGCAUCCGUAGCCUGCUCUGUAAGUUUUCGGUUAAAUCCAUGUGCUCAACACAUGGGCUGCCGAAAAUACUGCAUAGCUAGGGAGUGGGAGAGGUAGACGGUACUCAGUAGGAAGGGGUAAAAUCCUUUGAUCUAUUGAUGACCACCUGUGGCGAAGGCGGUCUACCAGAACACGUUCGACGGUGAGGGAUGAAAGCUGGGGGAGCAAACCGGAUUAGAUACCCGGGUAGUCCCAGCUGUAAACGAUGCAGACUCGAUGAUGCAUUGGCAUAUAGCCAGUGCAGUGUCGCAGGGAAGCCGUUAAGUCUGCCGCCUGGGAAGUACGUACGCAAGUAUGAAACUUAAAGGAAUUGGCGGGGGAGCACCACAAGGGGUGAAGCCUGCGGUUCAAUUGGAGUCAACGCCAGAAAUCUUACCCGGAGAGACAGCAGAAUGAAGGUCAAGCUGAAGACUUUACCAGACAAGCUGAGAGGUGGUGCAUGGCCGUCGCCAGCUCGUGCCGUGAGAUGUCCUGUUAAGUCAGGUAACGAGCGAGAUCCUCGCCACUAGUUGCUAUCAUUAUUCUCAGGAAUAGUGGGGCGAAUUAGUGGGACUGCCGUUGUUAA
rnacentral:rRNA from 1 species